AUGGACGACUCGAGCAUCUUCAUCCAGUGGGCCAUGGAGGCGUUGGGGCAGGGGCAGGACGCUGCCGUUGCCGGAGACGCAUUCUCGUCAUCGCCAUUCUUAGAACCCCACCACUCGGCGGCGCUACAGAGUGGCACGGACAUGGCGGCCCACCGGUACGGAGCCACCGACGACAGCCGGAGCUCAGGUAACAGCGGCGCCGCGCUGGCCAAGGAGAACAACGGCUGGUCGUCCAACUGCAGCACCAACUACCCAGCCGUGAGCCCGAACUUCACCUCGGGCUCGGUCGCUCCUCCGAGCCACGGUGUGCCGGAGCCGGCGCACAGGUCGCCGCCGUCGAGGAAAUCCUCCCCCUCAAAUAACGGGACGGCGUCCACCGGGCAAGAACACGUCAUGGCAGAGCGGAAACGCCGGGAGAAGCUCAACCGCCACUUCAUCGAGCACUCCACUGUCAUACCCGGCCUCAAGAAGAUGGACAAGACAACCAUCCUUUCCGACGCGGUGAGGUACGUCAAGGAGCAGCAAGAGAAGCUCAAGGCACUCCAGGACCGCGACAAGAGGAUCAUCGACUCGGUCGUGCUCGUUAAGAGGCCGUGCAUCUCCAAUGUCGAUCAUGGUAGCCCGUCACCACCGCCAUCAGCAGUAGCUCGAACAAGUCCGACUCUGGCAAAAAAGACCUUGCUGCCGGAGAUCGAUGCAAGGAUCUUGGAGGGGAACGUGAUGGUGAAGAUCCACUGCGAGGACGGCAAGAGGGUCCUUGUCACCUUGCUCGCAGAGGUCGAGGGGCUCCAUCUUACCAUCACACACGCCAAUGUCAUGUCCUUCCCGGCCUCCACUCUCAUCAUAAACCUCAUGGCAAAGGUGGACGAAGGCUUCAACAUCACAGUGGAGGACAUUGUAUGCAAGCUCCACUCUGCAUUGAGACCAUGUCACCAUAUCGGCAAAUAA
rnacentral:rRNA from 1 species